AGUUUUACCAUACUGCUGGGAGCUUCGCGACACGCCAAUACCGUGUCUGUUACUCUUGCUGUAUUUCUUUAGAGGAAUGCUUGUGAUUUAGCAGAGGAAGUUAUAUAUAUUUCAUUGUACUCUUGUAAUUGACUCAGAAAUAUGCAACAACUUGGAGAGAUGUUGUCAACGUCUGCUUCUCAGUAUAUUAACCCGGACUAUUACAAUCCUUUACCAACAACGGUAAGACGAGUUUUAUUCAUAUAUUUUUUUUAAACAAGAGUUUUUUCAGAAAUGAAAUUUAUUUACUAUUGGACUAUGAUUUCGAUAAAUUUUCCGUGUAUGUAUUUUUCUAUAAAUGAACGACUUGUUUGGUUAUUAUAGUAUACGAUAUGAUUUAAAAUUGUUAAUUGAAAUAAUUUCAAGGGGUCAUAUGAUUUUAAGAUUCAAUUUACUGUCCAGGAAAAAUAAACUGGUUUUUUAAAAGCACAUCGAAAAAAAUUUACCUGCUUUCAGCGUAUAGCGAUACUAGCCCUUUAUCGUGUCAAUCAAACUGAGCCGAUUUCGUGUGUAAAACAACCGCUAAUCGUAUUCAUAGAAAACUAAUGCAUUCACUUGUCAUCCUAUUUGAUACUAUCAUGAAGGACUACAGAAAUGACAUUUCACAUUAAAAAGUUUUCUUUAUAUGGAGAUUUUGAAUGUUUUUUGUUUUCAUUUUCAGCUUGAUGCAAAGAAAAGUCCAUUAGCCAUGCUAGCUCAAACAUGUAGCAGCAUUGGGAAAGAUCCAUCAACAAAAUCCAUCAUUCCCCCACUGGAGAAGAAAGAUGCCGAAAAACAACAGCUGGAAAAAUCAACUCCCGCUGAAAACGAAACGAAAGACUCCAACACCAAGGAAAGUGCUGACACUAAUGAUAAACCCAAAUUCCGCUCUGUGGUUCAUAAGGACGUGCCAGCCCUCGUCCCAGUAUCGCGAUCAAAGGAGGAGAAAUCUGCCACACCAACCUCUAAAUCCUCACCCAAACCGAAAGAUGUUACCAUCACCACUGCCUCUGCUUCAUCUCAAUCUGAGCGGGCCAGUGUGAGUUCCCGGUCGCCACAUUCGCGCCACUCUGUGCCAGACGACCACAGAAGACGACCCGAGUCACCACGGUCACCACGACAUGUCCCGAGAUCCAUUGCCAGUGAUUAUGAUGUCAGCAAAGCUGGCCAGUCUGCCUCAUUUUCCAGUUAUCCCUAUUUCUCACACCCUGGACUCUCCGCCGAUGCCUUGGCGGGUUAUCCUUAUGGAUUGCACUCCCAUGCUGCAGCAGCUGCCCUGGCUGCCCAGUCCUCUGCACUUGCUGCUCAAUCAUCAGCCCUGAAAUCCGCUUACGGGAACACCAUGUCUCCAUAUGUUUCAUACGCUCGUGUUCGGACCCCAUCAGGGGCCACAACUCUUGUUCCAGUAUGUCGAGAUCCUUAUUGUACAAACUGCCAACUGACUGUUCAAAAUUCACAUUUAUCCUCUACCUGCACUGCUGUUGGAUGUACACAAUGUGCUCAUGAAAAGGCGUUGCAAAAUCUAAGCAUGGGACUACCUUCUUUUCCUCACAUGCCGCCGACAACAUAUUCAACAUCCAGUCUCAUGUCAGCCCAAGGUCUGGGGUCACACCUCUUCUCCUCAUCACUGUACCCGUCUCUGUCCGCUGCCCACAGCGGUCUACCAUUUGUCUGUAACUGGGUGUCCCCUGGUAACGAGCCGUGUGGAAAACGAUUUACAACCUCUGAGGACCUCUUACAACAUCUCCGUUCACACACCACUGUCACAGACCCGCUAGCCCUUGCGGCGGCCUACGAACGUUAUGGGGUGCCACCCGCCGGACUCCCCGGGUUCUCUCAUAUGGGUCUUCCAUCCCCUGGGUCAAGUAGUCCAGGGUCGAUAAGGAGAACCUAUCCUACAAGUCUCAGUCCCCUCAGUGCCAUGGGUUCUUCCCGAUACCAUCCCUACAAAACGAUGACGUCACCAGCCACAGCGGGACUUCCUUCCCAGCAGCUUCCGUCUUUUGGACCUUAUUUCUCCCCUUAUUCUCUGUACGGUCAGAGGAUAGGCGCUGCUGCCGUUCCAUGACUUUAUAGCGAGGCUCAGGACUAGUGCUCAAUCCAUUUUUUUUUAACUUACAUGUUUUAUUUAUUCUCUGGUAUAUAAAAUAUGACAUUGAAGUAGAAAAAAAAUAUCCAGAGACUAAAUUUUGUUGAAUUUAAUAUAUUAUACAUUAAAAGUAUUAAUAA
rnacentral:misc_RNA from 1 species